rnacentral:sRNA from 1 species
UUAAAAUCCCUUGUAAAUUUUUCAAAACACUUUUAAACCCUUUAAAAAUCUUUACAAAUCUUUUGUAAAUCUUUUAAAGCCCUUUAAAAUCUCUUGUACAUAUUGUAAAACCCUUUUAAAAUCCCUUAUAAAUAUUUUAAAAUCAUUUUAAAACAAUUUUAAACCCUUUAAAAAUCUUUAAAAGACCUUUGUAAAUCUUUAAAAACCUUUUAAAAUUCCUUGUAAAUCACCCUUUUUAAAUCCCUUGUAAAUCUUAUAAAAUCCCUUUAAAAUCUCUUGUAAAUCUUUUAAAACUCUUUUAAAAUUCCUUGUGAAUCUAUUUCCCGCCAAAAAAAAAAAAAUUGGCGGGAAAUUUGUUUCGAAAAUUUUUGGCAGGAAAAUAUCGGCGGGAAAU